ensembl:lncRNA
CUCUGUGAGCACAAAGGAGAAAGGCUGCCCUCAGGGUUGACUGCAUACUGGGGAAAAAUUAAGACAGCUGAGGUUAAGUUGUUUACCAGAGCAUGAACUAAUGGAUACUGGAAAGCAGCUGAAUCUUGUGUUACCUUGAUUGCUUGCAUCCGUGUUUGGGUGAGCUGGGUAAAAGUGAGGUGAGCCAUAAGGCUUGGGUCUCCUCUGCCUGCUAGAAGAUGAGCCCCCUGGCUGCCCACAUGUUGAGCUGACUCCGUGUCUCUGUCAUUCAUUUUCGUUUGUCCGGGGUCAGGGAGGAACAAAGUACCUGGUCUAGGUCCCGGAGCAAGGCCCACCUGGUGGCGCCCCAGUGCGGGGCCGGGGACCCAGGGUUGCCUACAGUUCACACUACUUAUUCUCCUUUUAAUAUCCACGUGAUCUGUAAAUCCUCCCUGUUAUAGGUAAUCCGUAUCCUGGAUUCUGGGGGAUUAUUUAAAGCAGUGGUGGUGAGUGGAUGGCACAUGUGCCACAGCGGACACGCAGAGCCCUCUCUGUCGGGAUUGAACUUGGGACCUUGUGCUUGCAAGGCAGGCGCCGGAACCACUGAGCCAAAUCCCCGGCCCAGGAACUGGUAUUUUAAACAAGCAUCCCAAAGGAUUCCGAUGCAGUGGUCCCUCGACAUUCACCUGGCUACUUUAUGUCUUGCUGAAGAUGCAAAACUUGCUCUGGCUGAAAUUCUCCUUUUAUCCUUUCUACCAGUAAGUGUCUCUUAGAGAAACUGGGACACUUUCACUAUGGCUCUUCCCUGCAUUCCUGGGGGUGAAGCAGCCACCACAGGAAGCAAAACAGCAAGAGAGAGGCUGAUUCAGCACAUACUGAGGCGCAGCCACAAGCCCAGGAGCUUCUUAGUGGCCUCCUGAUCUUAUCGAAGGACAUUGUCCUUUCCUGGAACCUCACUGCCUUCUGCAGUAUCUUUAUUUGUAUCGUAUCGUAAGGCUGUCCCACUCGCUUUGCACUGAGAAGUGUUGCUCUGAAACUAUUUACUGUGAAUAAACUUUCUUGGUAAUGCCACGUUUGUUCAGAACCUUGAC